rnacentral:lncRNA from 1 species
UUUUGCUAUAUUUUUAGCUCCUGAAAUGGAUUUGAGAAUGCCAACUGUAAUUCUUUUCAUUAUGAUUUGUUUGUUUCUACAAUGGGAUAGACUUUAAUGAUACAUAUUCUAGGAAAUUAUUUUUCUUGUCACCUAUGGACAAAAGAAAAAGCCAAUUAAACAGUCAAUUCCUUAUUGCCCUUUCUAAAAGGCAGUCCUUCUUCAAUUUAUCUGAAGCUUGUUUUUGUUUUCCAUUUUCACAUACUUCUAGUUGAGGGAUUCUUAAUCUGGGAUCUGGAGAUCCUUAAAAUAUCCAUGGAGAGAUUUCAAGAUAAACGGAGGUGGAGUUAAAAUGGUGGCUUAAAGACAGCAACAGUUCAGACCUCUGCAAACCCUUCCUCACCAAUCAAAAACAAUGCUUCAAGGUGCCUGAAAACCAAAUGUAACAACAGGACAGAGCUAGGGAACUCUCCUCCUGGACCAAACUUAAAAGGAUCUUGGCCUGGGACUGCUGCUGGAGCUACAACUUGGACCUGGGACUCUGGAUCUUGGACUGCUGCUAGUAAGACUGCUCCUGGAUCUUCUCCCUUUGGAGCUACUGCUUGGGGAUCUCCAGUGAUAAGUGGGGGACCACAAGUAUACAAAUGUGAUAAGUACUAUUGUGCUAUAAGUAACAAAGAGAUGAAUGUCUUCAAAGAGAUAUGA